rnacentral:rRNA from 1 species
UACGAAGGGGGCUAGCGUUGCUCGGAAUCAUUGGGCGUAAAGGGUGCGUAGGCGGGUCUUUAAGUCAGGGGGGAAAUCCUGGAGCUCAACUCCAGAACUGCCUUUGAUACUGAAGAUCUUGAGUUCGGGAGAGGUGAGUGGAACUGCGAGUGUAGAGGUGAAAUUCGUAGAUAUUCGCAAGAACACCAGUGGCGAAGGCGGCUCACUGGCCCGAUACUGACGCUGAGGCACGAAAGCGUGGGGAGCAAACAGG